CUCGAGGUUAGCUCUUCACUGCCCUGUGUCUUCUUUCCAAGGGUCUCGGUGAUUCGGCCACAGCCUCAGCCUCCAUCACGCGGUGAACUGAUGGUGCUGGAAGAUUCAUAGACUCCAGGACAUUCCUGAAGCCGAGAAAAGGUUAAGUAGGGUCUGGCCUGGAAUACUCUCCUAGAUGAAGAUAGCCCAACCAUGAGCCACCUUCGAAGCAGAUGAGAUGAAAUUAAAGCUCUUCAACUCCUAAAGGCCCAGAGACUAUCACAAAAGAGGUGGGCAUGUGAGAUUGUAAGAACUGAUUUUGAGAGAUAAAAUAAGUUCAGUUUUUCUAUACAUUAAUCAUUAAUGUCAAAGGCACACUAAUGCAAGACCAGAAUAGGGGCCCCAGUGUUAGAUUAACAAGGUUUUCUUGAAGCAUUAACUGACUCCUUAAUAAAGGCUUAUAGAAGUUAUAUCUCAUGGUCAAGAUUAGAAUUUUAUAGAUUGUUCAUAACAUUUUGAAAAACAAAUUUAAUUGGCUUUAUGCUGUUUUAUUGAAGAUUAUUGUUUGGAAAAUUAAGUCUUGUCUCCCAAAGAAUGAAGGUUUUUUCUUUUUUUGUUUUUGAAAUCUUUAUUACUUUGGUCAAAUUAAUGACUUAUUUUACAAUGACCUGUGACAUCAGGUGUUUUAAAUCUUUGAUAUUUGACUGAGAUUCUUUCUGUGGAACAAAGUUCCAUCAAACUUUCCAAAAUCAAAUUAUAAAUUAUGUAUUUUUCUUACCUAAUCCUUUAAAAUAUUAUGUUCCCUAAAGUUUAAAAAUGACAUAAUUUUGCUUAUUUCUUAUAAAAAUUAUACAGAGAACGUUGUUGAAUAUGAAAUGGUGUUUGGUUUUUUUGGGCUGUGUUUGUAUAAGUAUAUUAUUGGUAUUUGUUCUAAAAUUAUGGGAAACUCCUAUAAUUCUUAUAUGACUUAGUGUACAUUAUUAGCAGUAAUUAUAAUUGCUAUAUUGCCACAGAGGUAACAAAUUUCCUUGUCAAUUGUAUCUUUGACUUUGGUUGCCUUAAAACUUUUUGUCAUUCACAGACAAUUGUAUUGUUUUGGUCCUCUUUAGAAGGUGGUUUUAUAAUCAGCUAUAAAACUCUUAACAGGUGGUCUUGAAUGCAAGUUUCUGAUAACUUUGGAGAUGGUGACAUCAGAGUAGAGGAAAAAAAUUCAGAACUCAUGGAGAGCUGAAAUGUUCAUGAAUAUUAAGCAGAACAAGGAUUAAGUGCAUGCAUUGAACUAUUAGAAGACUGAAGUAAUCUUUUUUUCUUUUUUUGAGUCGGGGUUUCACUCGGUCUUCCAGGCUGGAGUCCAGUGGUGUGAUCUCAGCUGAAUUACAGAUGCAUGCCACCACACCUGGCUAAGUUUUGUAUUUUUAGUAGAGACGGGGUUUCACCAUGUUGGUCAGGCUGGUCCAAACUCCUGACCUCAUGAUCUGCCUGCUUGGCCUCCCAAAGUGUUGGGAUUAUAGGCGUGAGCCACCGAGACCAGCUGAUCUUUUUGACUUUUUACUUAAAAUGUUGCUGAUCCUUUCUUUUGUUUUCUGAGUCAAGGAAACCUACCUUUUGAUCUAUUUACAGCUUUUAACAAGUUAGUAUACUCCUGUGAACAAAAUUUAAAGCAUAUUUAAUUCUCUCUACUUGAUUUCUCUAGAAUUUGGAAACUAUUUGUGAGUAUUCUUAACUUAUGGCAAUACAUUUAUUUGCAUAAGUGCAUUAAGAAUGUUUUUUUUUGUUUGUUUUGUUGUGUUAUUUAUUUAUUUUUUGAGACAGAGUCUCACUCUGUUGCCAGGCUAGAGUGUGGUGGCCCGAUCUUGGCUCACUGCAACCUCUGCCUCCUGGGUUCAAGCAAUCCUCCUGCCUUGGCCUCCCAGGUAGCUGGGACUACAGGCGAGCGCCACCAUGCCCAGCUGAUUUUUUAUAUUUUUAGUAGAGAUAGGGUUUCACCAUGCUGGCCACUAUGGUCUUGAUCUCUUGACCUCAUGAUUCACCCAUCUUGACCUCCCAAAGUGCUGUGAUUACAGGCAUGAGCCACCACGCCCUGCCAAGAAUCUGGUUUUUAUAAGUAACAGGACACAAUUGGAGAAACUGGUUAUUUUACCAACACUUUGACUGGAAUGGUGUUCCUUUUUUAAGGAAUCAAACUUGAUUUAUGGAGCCAAUUAAAAGCCCCUCGGGAAAACUGGAUUCAAAUCUUGUCUACAUAUUCCCUGUACUAUGACAUUUUUACUUACCACAGGUCAGAAAUCCUGAAGGUCACUUUCUGACAAACUCAGGAACCCCAGGUUUAUCUUGGAGCCUCAAGAGGAGAUAAAUUCACCCAACUCAGGUAUUUGAUGGUACAAAUCCAUGUCUGGGGUUGGCUUUUAAAAAGUAUUAUCUGAGAUUCCUUCUGUGGAACAAAGUUCCAUCGGGGAAAAAUUGUGCAAAUGUAAUAAAUUUGGAAAAACACUUUUUCAAAAACUACAGCUUAGAAAACAACAGAGAGUUCAUACUGGAGUAUGCUUUUGCAGAUGCAGUACAUGUAAAAAAAUAUUUAAUCCAUAAUUAAGUCUAUGCAAAUAUCAGAAUUUAUGGUAGAAAUAUAUAAGGCACUGACACACUUCACGUAUUCUAAAUCAGUGCUGAGUAUAGGAAAUCUAAAACUAAAGUUGGCAGAAAAAUUAUUUGUAUGUAACUUUCAGAGGAUCAGAAGGUUUUUUGCAGAAUUAUAAUUACAUUCAAAGUAUAUUUCUUGAAAAAAAUACAGAUUUUUUGAAAAGUGAAUAAUGAUGUCAUUCAACUCUGAAAUUAUUUCCUGCUGUUUCUUCAUUCCUAUUGGAGUCAAAUGUGAAAGCAUAGGAUCAAUUGUUGCUGCGUCAAAGAUGUGAGAGAUUCUUUUUGUUUUGUUUUGUUUUCUGUUUUUUUGAGAUGGAAUUUCGCUCUUUUGCCCAGGCUGGAGUGCAGUGGAAUGAUCUUGGCUCACUUCCGUCUCCGCCUUCCAGUUUCAAGUGAUUCUCCUGCCUCAGCCUACUGAGUAGUUGGGAUUACAGGUGCCUGCCACCACACCCAGCUAAUUUUUGUAUUUUUAGUAAAGAUGGGGUUUCACCAUGUUGGCCAGGCUGGUCUCAAACUCCUGACGUCAUGAUCUGCCCGCUUCAGUCUCCCAAAGUGUGAUUACAGGUGUGAGCCACCAUGCCUGGCAAGGCAUUCUUUUUUAUUAGGGGGGUGUUGUUUAUUACCUCUUCUAUAGAAAAGUAAAGACAUUAAAAUGUAAGAUGCAUAAUAAAAAUCUAAGUGGAGAGGCUCUUAUAACCUAUAAUAUUGAGUGAUGCAUCAGGUAGGUGUUCAGAGUAAUCUGCAUUAUCAUGAGAAGAAAACAUGUUUAAUUUUAUUUAAAAUUAAAUGAGUAGUAUAUUAUUGUACUAAUUGUACUAAUUUUUUCUGAGACAGAGUUUUGCUCUUGGUGCCCAGGCUGGAGUGCAUUGGCACGAUCUCUGGCUCACUGUGACCUCUGCCUCCCAGAUUCAAGUGAUUCUCCUGCCUCAGCCUCCUGAGUAGCUGGGAUUACGGGCAUGUGCCCCCAUGCCUGGCUAAUUUUGAAUUUUUAGUAGAAACAGGGUUUCUCCAUGUUGGUCAGGCUGGUCUUGAACUGCCAACCUCAGGUGAUCUGCCCACUUUGGCCUCCCAAAGUGCUGGGAUUACAGGCAUGAGCCACCGAGCCUGGCCUGAUUGUACUUUUAUAUAAUAAAAUGCAGUACAUUUAUAAAUUUUAGAUUAUGUGUGAAGUUAAUAGUUUAAUUCAACAUUUUUAACAUGUUAAAUACUAUUGUGCAUUCAAUGAAGCGUUAUUAUGCCACAAACUUUAACCUCUUUCACCUUACUCAAGGGUAUAGGUAAAAGAUGGUAACAAUAUACUGUUUAGUAAGAUAAUAGAUUAACAUCUCUAGUGAUUUUUUUUUUUUGCCAGUGGCUUUCAACUGCAAAUAAGUUAAAGAAUAUUGUUUCUGUAGGUAAAUUUUUAUUCUGUUUUUAAUCAUUUAAAUUUAUUUUAAUUUUGGUGGCUGCAUGAGUAUCUAUGCAAUAUAUGGCAUGUUUUAAUACAGGAAUACAAUAUAUAAUAAUAAUAUCAGCAUUAAGUGAGGCAUCCUUCACCUGUAGCAUUUAUCCUAUGUUUUAUAAUCCAAUUCUACACUUUUUUUUAAAUUUAAAAUGUACAAUUAAAUUGUUAUUUACUACAGGGUUAUUUUUAUGGUCAUAAUAAAAAUUAUAUAUGAGUAUAAAUAAAAUUCAUUGUUAAAUUCUUAAUAUUUUUUCAAAUUUCUUAUAUAUUUUUCUUGGAACAUGUGGCCUGUCUGCCUGCAAACACAUAAGACUUUUAGUUUUGAUUUACAUAGAGUUAAAUAUUUAUUAAUCUAAAGACAAACCUUAGGUGUAAGAAAAUUAUGGAGUAAGUGUGUUGGGAGUUUGAGACCAGCCAGACCAACGUGGAUUAACCCCGUCUCUACUAAAAACACAAAAUUAGCCGGGCGUGGUGGCAUAUGCCUGUAAUCCCAGCUACUUGGGAGGCUAAGCCAGGAGAAUCGCUUGAGCAUGGGAGGCGGAGGCGGAGGUUGCAGUGAGCCGAGAUCACGCCAUUGCACUCCAGCCUGGGCAGCAAGAGUGAAACUCUGUCUCAAAAAAAAAAAAAAAA
ensembl:lncRNA novel transcript